rnacentral:rRNA from 1 species
AUACGGAGGGGGCUAGCGUUGUUCGGAAUCACUGGGCGUAAAGCGCGCGUAGGCGGGCUGUUCAGUCGAGGGUGAAAUCCCGGGGCUCAACCCCGGAACUGCCCUCGAUACUGGCAGCCUCGAGGUCGAGAGAGGUGAGUGGAAUUCCGAGUGUAGAGGUGAAAUUCGUAGAUAUUGGGAAGAACACCGGUUGCGAAGGCGGCUACCUGGACCGGUACUGACGCUGAGGUGCGAAAGCGUGGGGAGCAAACAGGAUUAGAAACCCUAGUAGUCC